AUUGAACGCUGGCGGCAGGCCUAACACAUGCAAGUCGAGCGGGGUUUUCGGACCUAGCGGCGGACGGGUGAGUAAUGCGUAGGAAGCUGCCCGAUAGAGGGGGAUACCAGUUGGAAACGACUGUUAAUACCGCAUAAUGUCUACGGACCAAAGUGUGGGACCUUCGGGCCACAUGCUAUCGGAUGCGCCUACGUGGGAUUAGCUAGUUGGUGAGGUAAUGGCUCACCAAGGCGACGAUCUCUAGCUGGUUUGAGAGGAUGAUCAGCCACACUGGAACUGAGACACGGUCCAGACUCCUACGGGAGGCGGCAGUGGGGAAUAUUGGACAAUGGGCGCAAGCCUGAUCCAGCCACGCCGCGUGUGUGAAGAAGGCCUUCGGGUUGUAAAGCACUUUCAGCGAGGAGGAAGGGUUGUGUGUUAAUAGCACAUAGCUUUGACGUUACUCGCAGAAGAAGCACCGGCUAACUCUGUGCCAGCAGCCGCCGCCGUAA
rnacentral:rRNA from 1 species